rnacentral:rRNA from 1 species
UCGGGAAUAUUGCGCAAUGGAGGAAACUCUGACGCAGUGACGCCGCGUAUAGGAAGAAGGUUUUCGGAUUGUAAACUAUUGUCGUUAGGGAAGAAAAAAGACAGUACCUAAGGAGGAAGCCCCGGCUAACUAUGUGCCAGCAGCCGCGGUAAUACAUAGGGAGCAAGCGUUAUCCGGAUUUAUUGGGUGUAAAGGGUGCGUAGACGGGAAAGCAAGUUAGUUGUGAAAUCCCUCGGCUUAACUGAGGAACUGCAACUAAAACUGUUUUUCUUGAGUGUCGGAGAGGAAAGUGGAAUUCCUAGUGUAGCGGUGAAAUGCGUAGAUAUUAGGAGGAACACCAGUGGCGAAGGCGACUUUCUGGACGAUAACUGACGUUGAGGCACGAAAGUGUGGGGAGCAAACAGG